rnacentral:rRNA from 1 species
UGACUGAGUGGCGGACGGGUGAGUAACGCGUGGGUAACCUGCCUCAUACAGGGGGAUAACAGUUAGAAAUGACUGCUAAUACCGCAUAAGCGCACAGUGCUGCAUGGCACAGUGUGAAAAACUCCGGUGGUAUGAGAUGGACCCGCGUCUGAUUAGCUAGUUGGUGGGGUAACGGCCUACCAAGGCGACGAUCAGUAGCCGGCCUGAGAGGGUGAACGGCCACAUUGGGACUGAGACACGGCCCAAACUCCUACGGGAGGCAGCAGUGGGGAAUAUUGCACAAUGGGGGAAACCCUGAUGCAGCGACGCCGCGUGAGCGAAGAAGUAUUUCGGUAUGUAAAGCUCUAUCAGCAGGGAAGAAAAUGACGGUACCUGACUAAGAAGCACCGGCUAAAUACGUGCCAGCAGCCGCGGUAAUACGUAUGGUGCAAGCGUUAUCCGGAUUUACUGGGUGUAAAGGGAGCGUAGACGGUUGUGUAAGUCUGAUGUGAAAGCCCGGGGCUCAACCCCGGGACUGCAUUGGAAACUAUGUAACUAGAGUGUCGGAGAGGUAAGCGGAAUUCCUAGUGUAGCGGUGAAAUGCGUAGAUAUUAGGAGGAACACCAGUGGCGAAGGCGGCU